rnacentral:rRNA from 1 species
AUACGGAGGGUGCAAGCGUUACUCGGAAUCACUGGGCGUAAAGCGCGCGCAGGCGGCUUGAUAAGUUGGAUGUGAAAGCCUACGGCUCAACCGUAGAACUGCAUCCAAAACUGUCAGGCUAGAGUGUGGGAGAGGAAGAUGGAAUUAGUUGUGUAGGGGUAAAAUCCGUAGAGAUAACUAGGAAUACCAAAAGCGAAGGCAAUCUUCUGGAACACUACUGACGCUGAGACGCGAAAGCGUGGGGAGCAAACAGGAUUAGAUACCCUAGUAGUCC